AUUGAACGCUGGCGGCAUGCCUUACACAUGCAAGUCGAACGGUAGAGGGGGCAACCCCUCGAGAGUGGCGAACGGGUGAGUAAUAUAUCGGAACGUGCCCAGUCGUGGGGGAUAACGUAGCGAAAGUUACGCUAAUACCGCAUACGAUCUACGGAUGAAAGCGGGGGACCGUAAGGCCUCGCGCGAUUAGAGCGGCCGAUAUCUGAUUAGCUUGUUGGUGGGGUAAAAGCCCACCAAGGCGACGAUCAGUAGCUGGUCUGAGAGGACGAUCAGCCACACUGGGACUGAGACACGGCCCAGACUCCUACGGGAGGCAGCAGUGGGGAAUUUUGGACAAUGGGGGCAACCCUGAUCCAGCAAUGCCGCGUGAGUGAAGAAGGCCUCGGUUGUAAGCUCUUUGUCAGGGAAGAAACAGCAGCUCUAACACAGUCUGCGAAUGAC
rnacentral:rRNA from 1 species